CACCGCGGUUAUACGAGAGGCCCAAGUUGAAAGACCCCGGCGUAAAGAGUGGUUAAGUUAGAAUUUUACUAAAGUCGAACACCCUCACGGCUGUUAUACGCACCCGAGGGUAAGAAGCUCAACCACGAAGGUAGCUUUAUUUAUCUGAACCCACGAAAGCUACGGACA
rnacentral:rRNA from 1 species